ensembl:lncRNA
UGAAGUUAACAUAUCAUAACAAUCACCAACCAUGUUUCUGAAGCAUACUGUGUAUAAAAACCAAUGUCAAAACGUAAGUUUGCGAAAUUACAUGUGUCCCGCUUUAAGGCCCAGUCGGGGUUGUAGAGAGGCCUAAUGGGUGGCUGCCCAACUGUGGAACGAGAGCGCGUAGAAUCGACAGUAGUUUGCGCACUGAGUGGCUGCUCGUGGCAGCAGCCUGGAGUUCCGGUGGAAGCACGGCGGGCCUCUUGACGAAGCUCCUGACAGCAACCUGUUUUUUCAUUUGUCAUUCUCAUAUCUUCAUGUCUGCGAUCAUCACUGAGUCCACAAGCAGCAGGAAACAAUCCAGGAUAGGUCACAAUCCAUGAUGGCCGUCGUAUGUGACUCCACUGCAAAUGCGAAAAUUAGUUCGUCCUUCAUCAAAUGUUUUCAGGUGGGCAUAGCUUCAAUCUGAAACCCAGGGUAUUUGUUUUCUGCAAAACAAGGUCAGGCUUUAGUGAUCAAUCCAUCCAAUCCGGGACAGUGAACACCACACAAAG